UAGGGCAGAGGUGGAAGUGCGGUAACGCAUGGAGCUGACUGUUACUAAUAGGUCGAGGGCAUAACCAAG
rnacentral:rRNA from 1 species